UCUGUGAACUCCUACGGGAGGCAGCAGUAAGGAAUAUUGGUCAAUGGAGGCAACUCUGAACCAGCCAUGCCGCGUGCAGGAAGACGGCCCUAUGGGUUGUAAACUGCUUUUAUUCGGGAAUAAACCUCUGCUCGUGAGCAGAGUUGAAUGUACCGAAAGAAUAAGGAUCGGCUAACUCCGUGCCAGCAGCCGCGGUAAUACGGAGGAUCCAAGCGUUAUCCGGAUUUAUUGGGUUUAAAGGGUGCGUAGGCGGCUUAUUAAGUCAGGGGUGAAAGACGGUGGCUCAACCAUCGCAGUGCCCUUGAUACUGAUGAGCUUGAAUACACUUGAGGUAGGCGGAAUGUGACAAGUAGCGGUGAAAUGCAUAGAUAUGUCACAGAACACCAAUUGCGAAGGCAGCUUACUAAGGUGCAAUUGACGCUGAGGCACGAAAGCGUGGGGAUCAAACAGGAUUAGAAACCCGUGUAGUCCAUCAGCG
rnacentral:rRNA from 1 species